GACGAACGCUGGCGGCGCGCUUAACACAUGCAAGUCGAGCGAAGCGGCGGACGGGUGAGUAACACGUGAGUAACCUGCCUUAGAAAUUGGGAUAGCCUCGGGAAACCGGGAUUAAUACCACAUGUGCUAAGAUGGACUAGCGGCCCGUUAGCGAGUAGGUGCGGUAACGGCCCACCAAGGCGACGAUGGGUAGCCGGCCUGCGAGGGUGAUCGUCAAGAUUGGAGCGCAGAAACGGUCCAGGGUGUACGGGAGGGAGCAGUGGGGAAUGUUGCACAAUGUAGGGAACUCAGAUGCAGCGACGCCGCGUGGGGGAUGAAGGCGUUCGGGUUGUACUUGCUUCGAACAAGGCACGCGGUAGGUGAAGAAGAAGCGCCGGCUAACUACGUGCCAGCAGCCGCGGUAAUUC
rnacentral:rRNA from 1 species